rnacentral:misc_RNA from 1 species
UUUUAUUGGGUUUAGCAAUGAUUGGGAAGGUGGAAAAUCAAGGGAAACCAAAAGAGGAAAGAAAGUAGAGCUAGUUUUCACUUUUUUCUUGUUUGUGAAAGUACGGAAACUGGGAAAUAUGGAAAAUGUGGGUAGGAAAGUAAGUCAUGCAUCCACAGUCCACUUUCUCUCCAAAUUUGGAGGAAAGUGAGGGGAUGUUUUGUGAAACUAAGUUUUUAUACCUAUACAUAUUUUUUAUAUAAUUUUUGGAAAAGUGAAGUUGAAAUCAUAACUUUAUCAUUCAUAAAACCUCUUUUCCUUCAUCAAACAGGAUGGAGAGAUUAUUAUUUAUUCCUAAAUUUUCUUCCUCUAUUUUCUGCAAAUGUACUUCUUCCCUUGUUUCUCCAGAGAUCACAUCACCCUGUUAUUUUAUUUGUGAACUAACACUCCACUAAAACACACAUUUCUGUAGAACUUGAUUGAUUCUGAACUUCAUACAAUAUGCAUAGUUUGAUUACGAGUGUGGAUUACAUAUUUCAUGGUGGAAUUUGGAGAUUUUGAGAAGAAAGGACAAAUGAGUGAAUGUGGAUUGUAGAAAUGGGAAGGUGUUUGGAUCCUGAGUUUUGUGGUAGUGUAUAUGUGCAUACCUUGAUUGGCUCUUCUUUUGGCAUCCAUGUUAUCAAAAAUUUGUCAUCCAGACCAUUUAAUGUAGAAUUUAUAUUCUGUAAUGUUGAUCUUAUUUUUAUGUUUCUGUGGGGUUUCAGGUGGACCGAG